CUCAGUUCGGAUCGAAGUCUGCAACCCGACUUCGUGAAGCUGGAUUCGCUAGUAAUCGCGCAUCAGCCAUGGCGCGGUGAAUACGUUCCCGGGCCUUGUACACACCGCCCGUCAAGCCAUGAAAGCCGGGGGUACCUGAAGUACGUAACCGCAAGGAGCGUCCUAGGGUAAAACUGGUAAUUGGGGCUAAGUCGUAACAAGGUAUC
rnacentral:rRNA from 1 species